rnacentral:misc_RNA from 1 species
GCUCCGUUGGUGAACCAGCGGAGGGAUCAUUACUGGAAUCGCAAGAUCCCACAACCCUGUGAACCUACCGAAACGUUGCCUCGGCGGGUGCCCGGCCUCUGCGCCGGGCGCUGCGCCCGCCGGCGGCCCCCUACUCUGUCUCUGCAGCGUGGCAUCUCAGAGUCCCAGAAAACAAGUCAAGACUUUCAACAACGGAUCUCUUGGCUCUA